CCUCUCUCAUGUAGCUGUACUAGACUGGUUCUUCCUCCUCCUCUCUAAUGUAGCUUUACUCCACUGGUUCUCCCUCCUCCUCCUCUCUAAUGUAUCUAUGCUUGACUGGUUCUCCCUCCUCCUCCUCUCUAAUGUAGCUGUACUAGACUGGUUCACCCUCCUGCUCCUCCUCUCUAAUGUAGCUAUACUAGAGUGAUUCUCCCUCCUCCUCCUCUCUAAUGUAUCUAUACUAUACUGGUUCUCCCUCCUUCUACUCUUUCAUGUAGCUGUACUAGACGGGUUCUCCCUCCUCCUUUCUAAUGUAUCUAUACUAGACUGGUUCUCCCUCCUCCUCUCUAAUGUAGCUAUACUAGACAGGUUCUCCCCCCUUCUCUUUAAUGUAGCUGUACUAGACUGGUUCUCCCUUCUCCUCCUCUCUAAGGCAUCUAUACUAGACUGGUUGUCCCUCCUCCUCCUCUCUAAUGUAGCUAUACUUGACUUGUUCUCCCUCCUCUUCCUCUCUAAUGUAGCUAUACUAGACUGGUUCUUUCUCCUCUUUAAUGCAGCUGUACUAGACUGGUUCUACCUCCUCCUCUCUGAUGUAGCUGUACUAGACUGGUUCUCCCUCCUCCUCUCUAUUGUAGCUAUACUAAACUGCUUCUCCUUCCUCCUCCUCUCUAAUGUAGCUGUACUAGACUGGUUAUUCCUCCUCCUCUCUAAUGUGGCUGUACUCCACUGGUUCUCCCUCCUCCUCCUCUCUAAUGUAUCUAUGCUUGACUGGUUCUCCCUCCUCCUCCUCUCUAAUGUAGCUGUACUAGACUGGUUCUCCCUCCUCCUCCUCUCUAAUGUAGCUGUACUAUAGUGCUUCUCCCUCCUCCUCCUCCUCUCUAAUGUAUCUAUGCUUGACUGCUUCUCCCUCCUCCUCCUCUCUAAUGUAGCUGUACUAGACUGGUUCUCCCUCCUGCUCCUCCUCUCUAAUGUAGCUGUACUAGACUGGUUCUCCCUCAUCCUCCUCUCUAAUGUAGCUGUACUAUAGUGGUUCUCCCUCCUCCUCCUCUCUAAUGUAUUUAUACUAGACUGGUUGUCCCUCCUCCUCUCUAAUGUAGCUAUACUAGACUGGUUCUCCCUCCUCCUCUCUAAUGUAUCUAUACUAUACUGGUUCUCCAUUCUCCUUCUCUCUAAGGUAUCUAUACUAUACUGGUUUUCCUUCCUCCUCCUCUCUAAUGUAGCUAUACUAGACUGGUUCUCCCUCCUCCUCCUCUCUAAUAUAGCUAUACUAGACUGGUUCUCCCCUCUCCUCUCUAAUGUAGCUAUACUAGACUGGUUCUCCCUCCUCCGCCUUUCUAAUGUAGCUAUAGUAGACUGGUUGUCCCUCCUCCUCCUACUCCUCCUCCUUGCUAAUGUAGCUGUACUGGACUGGUUCUCCCUCCUGCUCCUCCUCUCUAAUGUAGCUGUACUAGACUGGUUCUCCCUCAUCCUCCUCUCUAAUGUAGCUGUACUAUAGUGGUUCUCCCUCCUCCUCCUCUCUAAUGUAUUUAUACUAGACUGG
ensembl:lncRNA